rnacentral:rRNA from 1 species
UCAGGAUGAACGCUAGCUACAGGCUAACACAUGCAAGUCGAGGGGCAGCAUGAUCGAAGCUUGCUUGAUGAUGGCGACCGGCGCACGGGUGAGUAACGCGUAUCCAACCUUCCCUAUAGUAGAGGAUAGCCCGGCGAAAGUCGGAUUAAUACUCUAUGUUUUCCAAUGCAGACAUCUAAAAUGGAACAAAGGUUUACUGCUAUAGGAUGGGGAUGCGUCUGAUUAGAUAGUAGGCGGGGUAACGGCCCACCUAGUCGACGAUCAGUAGGGGUUCUGAGAGGAAGGUCCCCCACAUUGGAACUGAGACACGGUCCAAACUCCUACGGGAGGCAGCAGUGAGGAAUAUUGGUCAAUGGGCGAGAGCCUGAACCAGCCAAGUAGCGUGCAGGAAUGACGGCCCUAUGGGUUGUAAACUGCUUUUAUACAGGGAUAAAGUGCGCCACGUGUGGCGUUUUGUAGGUACUGUAUGAAUAAGGACCGGCUAAUUCCGUGCCAGCAGCUGC